UUUAAUUUGUUACAUGUUGUUAGCAUUUAGAUGAUCUCAUGCAGACUCUGGCUAGGAGAUUAAAGCUUUAACAUUGUUUGUUUUAAAUAUCAUUCCUCUUAGAAUUUGGCUGGAUGUAUUUGUCAAUAUACAUGUAUACCAGUCAUUACUUAAAACAAAACUUCUUGUGUAUUUAAGUGCUUUAAUUUAGUUGUCUGUUCAGAAGAAAAAUACCUAUUUUUAUUUCAUUCCUGC
rnacentral:lncRNA from 1 species